rnacentral:rRNA from 1 species
UACGUAGGGUGCAAGCGUUAAUCGGAAUUACUGGGCGUAAAGCGUGCGCAGGCGGUUUUGUAAGUCUGUUGUGAAAUCCCCGGGCUUAACCUGGGAAUGGCAAUGGAGACUGCAAGGCUAGAGUUUGGCAGAGGGGGGUAGAAUUCCACGUGUAGCAGUGAAAUGCGUAGAGAUGUGGAGGAACACCGAUGGCGAAGGCAGCCCCCUGGGUCAAAACUGACGCUCAUGCACGAAAGCGUGGGGAGCAAACGGG